rnacentral:rRNA from 1 species
AUGCUUCGGGCGAGCGCACGCGGCCUUCUCGUCGGCCGCCGACGAGACCUCAUGGCCUCCCUCCUCGCCUUCUCCUCCUCCGCCUCCGGCCUCCCGCCCAAACCCUCGCCGUCCCACACCGCUCCCCCUCCGCCCCCGGCUUCCGCCUCCGCACGAGCGUCGCGCUUCCGCCUCCUACUCGCCCGCGCCGCCGCGCGCCGCGACCCCGAGCCGCCGCCGCCGCCGCCUCCGCAGGCCGAGAGCGAGAAGAAGUCGAUUGCGGUGAGAACGGGGGAGCUGUUCUUGGGUCUGAGUGCGCUGUUCAUCCGCGCGGGGAGAGGGACGGCGCCGGUGGAGGAGGUGGAGCGGAGCGAGGGGGUGUUGUGGGAGCAGCGCCCGGAGGACGUGGAGGCGGAGCGGCAGCGGAGGGAGGUGGCGACAGCGAGCCCCGGGUUCAGCUUCUCAGCCGCCGGGCUUCUCUUCCCCUACCACCUCGGCGUCGCGCAGUGCCUCCUCGACAAAGGCUACAUCACAGAAAGAACUCCGUUAGCUGGCUCAUCAGCUGGUGCCAUAAUCUGUGCAGUGAUUGCAUCCGGGAACACAAUGCAAGAGGCUCUUCAGGUGACCAAGAUUCUAGCUGAAGACUGCCGGAGUAAAGGGACUGCCUUUCGCCUUGGGGCUGUACUCAAGGAUGUUCUAGAAAAGUUUCUCCCAGAUGAUCUGCAUAUCAGGUGCAACGGAAGGAUCCGUGUUGCUAUUACUCAGUUGUCCUGGAGGCCUAGGGGCUUACUGGUCGACCAGUUUGACUCCAAGGAAGACGUGAUUAAUGCAAUUAUUACAUCUUCGUUUAUUCCUGGAUACUUAGCCCCCAGGCCUGCGACUUUAUUCCGUAACAGGCUGUGCGUUGAUGGGGGGCUUACAUUGUUUAUGCCACCUACUUCUGCUUCUGAAACAGUUCGAAUCUGUGCUUUCCCAGCUGGCAGACUAGGACUGCAAGGGAUUGGUAUUAGUCCAGACUGCAAUCCGGAGAACAGAGCUACUCCACGACAGCUGUUUAACUGGGCUCUGGAACCUGCUGAAGAUGAAGUUCUCGAUAAAUUGUACGAGCUUGGGUACCAGGAUGCAGCUGUGUGGGCUGAGCAGAACCCUCCUGAGUCAACUGUGAAGAUUGAGCAGCUCGUUACAGAUUGA